rnacentral:rRNA from 1 species
CCUACGGGAGGCAGCAGUGGGGAAUAUUGGGCAAUGGAGGAAACUCUGACCCAGCGACGCCGCGUGCGGGAUGAAGGCCUUCGGGUUGUAAACCGCUUUCAGCAGGGAAUAAGCGCAAGUGAAGGUACCUGCAGAAGAAGCACCGGCUAACUAUGUGCCAGCAGCCGCGGUAAUACAUAGGGUGCAAGCGUUGUCCGGAAUUAUUGGGCGUAAAGAGCUCGUAGGUGGUUUGUUACGUCGGUUGUGAAAUUCAGGGGCUCAACCCCUGACUUGCAGCCGAUACGGGCAAGCUAGAGUUUGGUAGGGGAGACUGGAAUUCCUGGUGUAGCGGUGGAAUGCGCAGAUAUCAGGAGGAACACCGAUGGCGAAGGCAGGUCUCUGGGCCAAUACUGACACUGAGGAGCGAAAGCGUGGGGAGCGAACAGGAUUAGAUACCCUGGUAGUCCACGCCGUAAACGGUGGGCGCUAGUUGUGCGAACCUUCCACGGUUUGUGCGACGCAGCUAACGCAUUAAGCGCCCCGCCUGGGGAGUACGAUCGCAAGAUUAAAACUCAAAGGAAUUGACGG